rnacentral:tRNA from 1 species
GCCCCGGUGGUGGAAUGGUAGACGCGGCAGACUCAAAAUCUGUUGCCGCAAGGCGUGGGGGUUCAAGUCCCUCCCGGGGCACCA